AUCUAAAUGAUGACCUUUUUUAUUAUGCCUAUGAAUCGUGAGGCUUAAUAUUGAGCUUUUUAACUCUGAAAGAUC